AGCGGCGUAAGGGAGAGUAAUGUGUGGAUACCUACCCUGGGGUCCGGGAUAGCCGUGGGAAACUGCGGGUAAUACCGGAUAACAUCUCCGGAUCAAAGGUGUGAUUCCGCCUUGGGAUGGGUCCACAUCCUAUUAGCUUGUUGGUAAGGUAACGGCUUACCAAGGCUACGAUGGGUACCGGGUGUGAGAGCAUGGCCCGGCUCACUGGGACUGAGACACUGCCCAGACACCUACGGGUGGCUGCAGUCGAGAAUCUUCGGCAAUGAGCGCAAGCUUGACCGAGCGACGCCGCGUGCGGGAUGAAGGCCUUCGGGUUGUAAACCGCUGUCAGAGGGGAUGAAAUGCCGGGAGGCUAUCCUGCCGGUUUGACAAAUCCUCAGAGGAAGGACGGGCUAAGUUCGUGCCAGCAGCCGCGGUAAGACGAACCGUCCAAACGU
rnacentral:rRNA from 1 species